ensembl:lncRNA
AUGGGUUCCCAGGCUGGGCUCUAAAUAGACGCGCAAGGGGACAGGGAGGGGCGUCCUGCGAGGAGUCCGGGCUUCAAACCCGGCUCUGCGCCGAGAACUCGCUGACUUAGGAACCCGCGACUCAAAACCACCCGUUGGGGGCGCCCCCAGCCCUUGGGGACUCUCCUCCGUCGGCUGCCCCAUUUCUCUAGAAUCCAGGAGGUAAAGAAACGCAAGCGUCUCCGUGCAUAUAUAAAGGAGCCAGGUUGUGACUUGCCAGCGCUGAGAUUGAGAGGCAGAAAAUAAAUACGAAUCACGACCUCGGUCCUGACCCUGCUACAAGCAGCCCCUCUCCUCCCGGGAGCUGUAAAUGCUUAAAUGCACAACUGAGAGCACAAAGAAAUCAGAUAAAUUCUCAAGAUGACACCAUCAGUUAAGUAGUGCAGCCUGGAUGCCAAUUCCAGUCUAUAAGUGUACCAAGUCCUUGUCUUUGGGGAAAUCCAUCAGCACUACUUUAAAUGGCCUCCCUCCCCAUUUUGGGAGCAGACUCUGAGCCCUUGGGCAAGUCAUUUUUUAUCUCUUUGCCCUAGUAUUGCCAUCGGAGAGGGAGAAAAAUCAUUAGAAUUUGCCAACCUUCUGUCAGGAGUGCUUGAUACAGAGUCCACAGUCUUGUGGACUUCAGGAACAAAUUAGGGGAGCACCAUAGCUAAUAAUUAUUACUGACAUAAUAAUGCCCAAACUAAUAAUAAUUAUUGGCUAAUAAUAAUUUAGAUAAUAAUUAUUGGAUUCAUGCCAUGUGCCAGGCAUUAUUCUAAACUCUUCAUGUACAUUCUCUCAUCAAGUCAAUGAACUUUUUUUAACUUAUGAGAAAGUUGAGGCAUAGAG